rnacentral:rRNA from 1 species
UACGUAGGGACCAAGCGUUGUUCGGAUUUACUGGGCGUAAAGGGCGCGUAGGCGGCGUGACAAGUCACUUGUGAAAUCUCCGGGCUUAACUCGGAACGGUCAAGUGAUACUGUCGUGCUAGAGUGCAGAAGGGGCAAUCGGAAUUCUUGGUGUAGCGGUGAAAUGCGUAGAUAUCUGGAGGAAUACCGGUGGCGAAGGCGGCAUCCUGGACCGGCAUUGACGCUGAUGAGCGAAAGCUAGGGGAGCAAACGGG